GUUGUGCUGUCCCUAUCCCCACUUUUUGUAUGUUGGUUACAUACAUGGCUGCUCUCUAACCCAUGCAGAUGCCUGCAGCUCAGAACAUAUCCCUCUAUUGGCUAAACAGGUGAUGUUUGUCUUUAGUCAAGAGUAAUGAUGGGCCUUUGAGCAACAAAUUCUGGCAUCCAUCCUUGAAUUGUCCCGCUCAGUCAGGCAAGACCUUUGCUGUGACUUCAGACCUAAUGAGUUCCUGUCUAGAUAGUGAAGCAUUCCCCACAAUUCCUCACACAGAAUGCUGAACACAGAGCAAUCCUAGUGAGGAAAACCGAGAUAAAGGAGCCUCCUAUCUCCACUUAGCUUGAAUUUACUUAACCCCCGCCCCCAGAACUACUAAAAAUAUUAAUAAUAAUAUGUACAGACAUAAUUUGGCUUGUUCGCUCUUUAAGAAAUAUUUCGAGCCAGGAGUUGGUGGUGAAUGCCUAUAAUCUCAGCAGUCUGGAGCAGAGGCAGGCAGAUCUCUUGAGUUCAGUGCCAGCCUGAUCUACAGAGUGAGUUCCAGGACAGCCAGGGCUGCACAGAGAAACCCUGUCUCAAAAAGACCUUAAAAAAAAAAAAAAAAAGAGGUGUUUUGGGUUGUGCAGAGUCGCCACCAUGAGAAAGGCCCUCCUGAACUGAACUGAACUGAACUGUAUGGACAAGAAGUUCUUAUUGAAGUGAAAUGGUGGCAGACAUGUCCAAGGGAUGAAUGGCGAAUGAUGAGUGUGGAGAGCAGAAGCAACACUGAGCAACAGAGCAACCUUGCAAUGGUGGUCGCCAAGGAAACAGCAUCAUCAGGCAGAAGCCUUGGAGAGAGUCUAAACAACGGCCCUGCACCUUCAGCAGGAGUGCACCCACCCCACCCCCAACACACACACAGGGCCUGUCUGACUGUGGGUGUAGAACUGGGUCAUGGACAUUUUCAUAAGAAACUCUUUUGUUUGUUUGGUUUGGUUUGGUUUAGUUUUUUGUUUUUUGAGACAGGGUUUCUCUGUAGACCCCUGGCUGUCCUGGAACUCACUCUGUAGACCAGGGUGGCCUCGAACUCAGAAAUCCGCCUGCCUCUGCCUUCCGAAUGCUGGGAUUAAAGGCGUGUGCCACCAUGCCCAGCAAGAAACUUAUUUCUAAAUAAACUUCUGUGAUACUCCAAUAUU
rnacentral:lncRNA from 1 species